ACGUACGCUGGCGGCACGCCUAACACAUGCAAGUCGAACGAAGUAGCAAUACUUAGUGGCAGACGGGUGAGUAACAUGUAGGUAUCUGCCCUUUGGCCUGGAAUAACACGAGGAAACUUGUGCUAAUACCGGAUAAGUCUUUACGGAGAAAGCUUUAUGCACCAUUGGAUGAGCCUGCACUUGAUUAGUUUGUUGGUGGGGUAAUGGCCUACCAAGACUGUGAUCAAUAGCUGAUUUGAGAGGAUGAUCAGCCACAUUGGGACUGAGACACGGCCCAAACUCCUACGGGAGGCAGCAGUGGGGAAUCUUGCACAAUGGAGGAAACUCUGAUGCAGCGAUGCCGCGUGAGUGAAGAAGGCCCUUGGGUUGUAAAGCUCUUUCGUCGGGGAAGAAAAUGACUGUACCCGAAUAAGAAGGUCCGGCUAACUUCGUGCCAGCAGCCGCGGUAAUACGAAGGGACCUAGCGUAGUUCGGAAUUACUGGGCUUAAAGAGUUCGUAGGUGGUUGAAAAAGUUAGUGGUGAAAUCCCAGAGCUUAACUCUGGAACUGCCAUUAAAACUUUUCAGCUAGAGUAUGAUAGAGGAAAGCAGAAUUUCUAGUGUAGAGGUGAAAUUCGUAGAUAUUAGAAAGAAUACCAAUUGCGAAGGCAGCUCUCUGGAUCAUUACUGA
rnacentral:rRNA from 1 species